UUAUAGUCAUUUCCCUGGAAGUGGCAGCUGUGACAGUAAAGGAAGAAUCAGAAGAUCCUGAUUAUGAUUAUAUCACAUUCAAGACAGGGGCCUGCUGUGUCUCUCAGGCUGGAGGGCAGUGAUGUCAUUACAGUUCACUGCAGCCUUGAACUCCCAGGCACAAGUGAUCCUCUCAUCUCAGCCUCCCGAGUAGCUGGGAAUUACAGGCCUCCUAAAGUGCAAGAAUUACAAGUAUGAGCCACUAUGCCUGGCCCCCACCCUGCCUAUUGAGAACCAAAAGAAGGAACCAAAUUCUCCGUAGCUCAACUCGAGCCAUUUCCUGAUUUCUUCAUCAGGAAUGAGCUGGUUAUUGGGCUGUCCAGGCCUCUCAAGCAGCACAGAAAUGAGAAACAGGAUCUUGCUCUCUCACCCUGGAUGGAGUUCAGUGGUGCAAUCACAGCUCAUUGUAGCCUCAACCCCCCAGGCUAGCAAUCCUACCACGGCCUUUCGAGUAGCUGUGACUACAGGUGAGCGCCAUGACACUCAGUGAAUUUUCAAUUUUUCGGUAGAGGUGGGGCCCGGCUGUGUUGCCAGGGCUGGCCUUGAACUCCUGCACUCAAGGGAUUUUCCUGCCUAGGGCUUCCAAAGUAUUGAUAUUACAAGCAUGAGCCACUGUGCUCACUCUGUCUGGUUCUUAACUUCCUGCCUCCCUCUUCCAUAUUUAAAGAACCCUUGUAAUUACAUGGGCUCACCCAGAUACUACAGGAUAAUCUUGUUUCAAGGACAGCUGAUUAGUAACAUUAAUUCCAUCUGCACUCUUAAUAUCCCCCUUCCUCUGAAACUGUGCUGUGUAACCUAGGACGUGAGCAAUUGGUAGGGGGCAUUACUUUGGCCACCACAGUGACCAAAAGGAUUGGUGGGGGACAGGUUAAAGAUACAGGGAAGUUGGAGGAACAACUGACAAGUGAGGUUCCAGAGAGGGCAGGUGAAGAGGAGAUUCCAGCAGGGAAAUUAGAUUAUCACUUUCUUUUUCUUUUUUUUCUAAGACAGGGUCUCACUCUGUCACCCCUGCUGGAGUGCAGUGGCAUGAUCUUGGCUCACCACAGCCUAGACUUCCCAGGCUCAAGGGAUCCUCCCACCCCAGACUCCCAAGUAGCUGGAACUACAGUUCUGCACCACCACCAUUCCUGGCUGUUUUUUUUUUUUUUUCUUUUGUUAGUAGACACAGGGUCACACCAUGUUCCCCAGGCUGGUCUCUAACUCCUGGUCUCCAACUCCUGGUCUCAAGUGAUCCUCCUGGUUCGUCUUCCAAAAUUGCUGGGAUUAUAGGCCUGGGUCACCAUGCCUGGUCUCUGCUAGUUGUAUAUUUUAUUUUAUUUUAAGUUCAGGGAUACAAGUGCAGAUUUGUUACAUAGGCAAGCUUGUGUCAUGGAGGUUCAUUGUACAGAUUAUUUCAUCACCCAGGUAUUAAGCCUGAUACCCAUUAGUUAUUUUUUCCUGAUCCUCUCUCUCCUCCCACCCUCCUAGGUCUCUGUGUGUCUAUACAUUCUCAUCAUUUAGCACCCACUUAUAAAUGAGAAUGAGAACAUGUGGUAUUUGCUUUUCUGUUCUUGUGUUAGUUUGUUAAGGAUAAUGGUCUUUUCAGAAAUCUGUAACGAUACUUACUAAAAUGCAAGUGAUAUAUAAGUGAACUAUGAUAGGAAGCUAAUUGGCACAUUUCACCAUUUCAUCUCACCAACUUGUUAUGCUAAAGACCUUUGAAAAGUGUUACAUAAAAUUUCAGCAUUUUUAAAAAGUUAAAUUGUAGAUUUAAAUUCAAAAUUAUUAACUUCAUUUCAAAAUUUGCUUCACUGAUCUAUCACAAAGGAGAUAAAAAUAUAUUGUUAAUAUUGCUAUACUCAAAAUAGGUUAUGAUAGCUUGUUUUUUAAAAGAAUAUGCAUUCAUCAAGCAACUGGAGAUGUAAUGCCUGCAAUCAGCAUUCAGCAGAGGAAAGAGACAUUUUGUUUUUUUUAAAAAACUAUUUGUAUAUUAAGUACAGGAAGUCCUUGCUUGAUGUUGUUGAUAAAUGCUUGGCAACUGUGACUUUAAGCAACAUUACAUACGGAAAGUCUUUGAGUAACAUCAUUUUCUUCAAAAUUGUUUGGUUAUGCCAUUGAUAAGAAAAAAAUUGGUUUUGUUAUAUGUCAUUUUGAAUAGAUAUUUAGAAUUUCAAUGUAUUUUCCUAUACAAAACUAUUAUAUUUGGUAAAUUAAUUAGACCAUCCUCUUUGCGAAUAAAAUAUUUACCAAUUGUGAAGGGAAGAAAGGAUAGUGAUUUAUGGAGAGACAAGGAAGGUUGAAAUACAUGCUGAAUAAAAGAAAUGUUUAACUAUAUGGCACUGGAAACAAACAAUUUGAGUUUGAAGGACAUAUUUUCUCUCAAGGAUUAUAUAAUAUGAGAAAUUAAUCAGAAAUUGAAGCAAUGAAUUCAACCAAUUACGAAAAUUAGUAGAAUGGUAUGAAGUAUAAAUGAAGAAAAUGAAUUUUAAAGUAUAGAAAAUUUGGAACCAUGGUGUAUGUCCCACUUAACAACCAGCAUAAUAAAAAUUUGAUUGUGCAAAAAGUGAUUAUUAAAUUUACUAAUAGAAUUUGAUGAGGGUAGAUAUUGAAUGCUAGGAGAUGGGUAACAGAAAGUUUCAAUAAGGCAUUUUCUAAUAAUUUCAUAAACUUCUUAACUUUCAAUAGCUACUUGCUACCUCCAGUUUAUUGGUGGAUCUCCUGUCAUUGGGCUUCAUUAAAAUAAAAACAAAUCUGUGGCAUUUAUGUCAAGUCAAAAGAAUCUAUGCAUUCAGAGUUGUGGCAGGAACUGCAUAUGAAUAAAGGAGUCCCUUUACUACAUUCUAAGGAAGAAUUUGUAUGUUCUAUUACAGACAAUGCUUUGUUCUCAGCCAUGUCUGUCCUGAUAUGGCUAUCCAGAUAGACUUAUCUUCCAAUUCCUCUGACUCCGCAAAUCUUUUUUUGUGUCCUCUGGAAUUCAUGGCCAGUCAGCAGCAUAAUUCUGUAUAAUCUCAAUAUAUUUAUUUUAUUUGAAUGUUGCCCUAAUAGGAGAUUGUGUUGAAGACACAGCUUGUUCAGCAGCUCAUAUCAUUCACAUCUCCCUAUGCUUUCCUUCAAUCUAAUGUGAGUUCAUUUUUUAGCACUGCAGGUCCAAAAUGUUGAAUAGAUAGUUCGACUUUCAAGAUUUUUAGAUGCCUUCUUCCGCCCCUUUCAAUUGGCAAAUGCAUCAUAGCAAAAAUCUGAACAGAACAUCUAAUUUAUGUUCGUGUGCUUCCCUUCUUUCUGGAGUCUUGCAUCCUCAAGUCUCUGCUGCUUGGUAGCUCUCAGGUGCCCUCUAACACAUUAUCUUUCAUAUUUUACCCAGCCUUACUAAUUAGUCUAGCAAGAGGGAUGGUCAUAUUCAAGUUCAUGUACUAUAGCUAGAAGUAAAUAUCCUUGUGUUAGCUAUUAAGAUUUGACGAGGCAUGAGAAAUAAAGAUGCAAAAUUGUCCUCAUUUACAGAUGAUAUGAUUCAACACUUUCAGUAUACAGGAGCCAAGACUGAAAAAAAUGACUUAAAACAUGAUGAUAAAUUAUUAUGAUAGGUGAAUAAAAAACAAAAAUAAAUCGUUUGUAAUGUAUACAUUAUAUAAUUAGAAAACACCCUAUUUUGCAAAGCAAAAAACUUGAAACAGACCUCACAAUGUGUACGAUUUUUAAAGGGAAAAAUUAUAUACUAUUGGAAGAUUUAAAGUAAGUUGUUAACAAAUAGUAAGCAUGUAAUGUCUUGUAAUAAAAACACAACACCAUAAUGAUGACAAUUCUGUCAAUAUUAAUAUAUAAA